rfam:Beta vulgaris subsp. vulgaris 0533.scaffold01098.con0001.1, whole genome shotgun sequence.
GGGUACGAUUAUACCAGCACUAAUGCACCGGAUCCCAUCAAAACUCCGCAGCUAAGCAUGCUUUGGCAACAGUAGUACUAGGAUGGGUGACCUCCUACGAAGUCCUCGUCUGGCACCCC